GUAGAUAUAGUUUAAACAAAACACUAGAUUGUGGUUCUAGAAAUAAAGGUUAAAGUCCUCUUAUUCACC
rnacentral:tRNA from 1 species